rnacentral:rRNA from 1 species
CACGUAGGGUGCGAGCGUUGUCCGGAAUUAUUGGGCGUAAAGAGCUCGUAGGCGGUGUGUCGCGUCGGCCGUGAAAACCUGCAGCUUAACUGUGGGCUUGCGGUCGAUACGGGCAUCACUGGAGUUCGGCAGGGGAGACUGGAAUUCCUGGUGUAGCGGUGAAAUGCGCAGAUAUCAGGAGGAACACCGGUGGCGAAGGCGGGUCUCUGGGCAGUAACUGACGCUGAGGAGCGAAAGCAUGGGGAGCGAACAGG